rnacentral:rRNA from 1 species
GAUGAACGCUGGCGGCGUGCCUAAUACAUGCAAGUCGAGCGAACAGACGAGGAGCUUGCUCCUCUGACGUUAGCGGCGGACGGGUGAGUAACACGUGGAUAACCUACCUAUAAGACUGGGAUAACUUCGGGAAACCGGAGCUAAUACCGGAUAAUAUAUUGAACCGCAUGGUUCAAUAGUGAAAGACGGUUGUGCUGUCACUUAUAGAUGGAUCCGCGCCGCAUUAGCUAGUUGGUAAGGUAACGGCUUACCAAGGCAGCGAUGCGUAGCCGACCUGAGAGGGUGAUAGGCCACACUGGAACUGAGACACGGUCCAGACGCCUACGGGAGGCAGCAGUAGGGAAUCUUCCGCAAUGGGCGAAAGCAUGACGGAGCAACGCCGCGUGAGUGAUGAAGGUCUUCGGAUCGUAAAGCUCGGUUAUUAGGGAAGAACAAAUGUGUAAGUAACUAUGCACGUCUUGACGGUAACUAAUCAGAAAGCCACGGCUAACUACGUG